rnacentral:rRNA from 1 species
UAAAGCACUUUCAGUCGUGAGGAAGGUAGUGUAGUUAAUAGCUGCAUUAUUUGACGUUAGCGACAGAAGAAGCACCGGCUAACUCCGUGCCAGCAGCCGCGGUAAUACGGAGGGUGCGAGCGUUAAUCGGAAUUACUGGGCGUAAAGCGCAUGCAGGUGGUUUGUUAAGUCAGAUGUGAAAGCCCGGGGCUCAACCUCGGAAUUGCAUUUGAAACUGGCAGACUAGAGUACUGUAGAGGGGGGUAGAAUUUCAGGUGUAGCGGUGAAAUGCGUAGAGAUCUGAAGGAAUACCGGUGGCGAAGGCGGCCCCCUGGACAGAUACUGACACUCAGAUGCGAAAGCGUGGGGAGCAAACAGGAUUAGAUACCCUGGUAGUCCACGCCGUAAACGAUGUCUACUUGGAGGUUGUGGCCUUGAGCCGUGGCUUUCGGAGCUAACGCGUUAAGUAGACCGCCUGGGGAGUACGGUCGCAAGAUUAAAACUCAAAUGAAUUGACGGGGGCCCGCACAAGCGGUGGAGCAUGUGGUUUAAUUCGAUGCAACGCGAAGAACCUUACCUACUCUUGACAUCCAGAGAACUUUCCAGAGAUGGAUUGGUGCCUUCGGGAACUCUGAGACAGGUGCUGCAUGGCUGUCGUCAGCUCGUGUUGUGAAAUGUUGGGUUAAGUCCCGCAACGAGCGCAACCCUUAUCCUUGUUUGCCAGCGAGUAAUGUCGGGAACUCCAGGGAGACUGCCGGUGAUAAACCGGAGGAAGGUGGGGACGACGUCAAGUCAUCAUGGCCCUUACGAGUAGGGCUACACACGUGCUACAAUGGCGCAUA